rnacentral:rRNA from 1 species
CGCGUAGGCGGCCAACUAAGUCAGACGUGAAAUCCCCUGGCUCAACCAGGGAACUGCGUCUGAUACUGGAUGGCUUGAAUCCGGGAGAGGGAUGUGGAAUUCCAGGUGUAGCGGUGAAAUGCGUAGAUAUCUGGAGGAACACCGGUGGCGAAGGCGGCAUCCUGGACCGGUAUUGACGCUGAGGCGCGAAAGCCAGGGAGCAAACG